GUGCCUGCUUCGCGCAGCACAUAUACUAAAAUUGGAAUGAUACAGAGAAGAUUAGCAUGGCCCGCAAAAGCAUGAAGCACAAUUCAUGAAGCAUUCCACAAGAGG
rnacentral:snRNA from 1 species